UACGGGGGGGGCAAGCGUUGUUCGGAAUUACUGGGCGUAAAGGGCUCGUAGACGGCCAACUAAGUCAGACGUGAAAUCCCUCGGCUUAACCAAGGAACUGCGUCUGAUACUAGAUGGCUUGAAUUCGGGAAAAAAAUGCGGAAUUCCAGAUGUAGCGGUGAAAUGCGUAGAUAUCUGGAGGAACACCGGUAGCGAAGGCGGCAUCCUGAACCGACAUUGACGCUGAGGAGCGAAAUCCAGGGGAGCAAACGGG
rnacentral:rRNA from 1 species